rnacentral:tRNA from 1 species
CAUAGCUCAACUGGAUAGAGUACUUGACUACGAAUCAAGCGGUUAGAGGUUCGACUCCUCUUGGGCGCA